GAUGAAGAACGUAGCGAAAUGCGAUAAUCAAUGUGAAUUGCAGAAUUCCGUGAAUAAAUCGAGUCUUUGAACGCACAUUGCGCCUCAUGGCAUUCCGUGAGGCAUGCCCAUCUCAGCAUUAGAAAAUAUUCUCAAAUUUUAGUUUUGUGCUAAAAUUUGGAUCAUGUCAAGGAAGCUAUUACUAUUAUUGUGAUCGCUCUUUGGAAAUUGAUAGGUCUUAGAGUUGCUACUCAUAGAACGUGAUGAAUCUUUCUUCGUUCUAUUGUAAUUCACUCUGGUAGUCGUAAAACUUGUAUGCCUGUGGCAUAUCUUGUAAUUUGACCUGAGAUUGGGUAGGGAUACCCGCUGAACUUAAGCAUAUCAAUAAGCGGAGGA
rnacentral:misc_RNA from 1 species